AGAGUUUGAUCAUGGCUCAGGAUGAACGCUAGCUACAGGCUUAACACAUGCAAGUCGAGGGGAAACGAUAUUGGAAGCUUGCUUCCGAUAGGCGUCGACCGGCGCACGGGUGAGUAACGCGUAUCCAACCUGCCCAUCACUUGGGGAUAACCUUGCGAAAGUAAGACUAAUACCCAAUGACGUCUCUAGAAGACAUCUGAAGGAGAUUAAAGAUUUAUCGGUGAUGGAUGGGGAUGCGUCUGAUUAGCUUGUUGGCGGGGUAACGGCCCACCAAGGCAACGAUCAGUAGGGGUUCUGAGAGGAAGGUCCCCCACAUUGGAACUGAGACACGGUCCAAACUCCUACGGGAGGCAGCAGUGAGGAAUAUUGGUCAAUGGGCGAGAGCCUGAACCAGCCAAGUAGCGUGCAGGAAGACGGCCCUAUGGGUUGUAAACUGCUUUUAUAAGGGAAUAAAGUGAGUCUCGUGAGACUUUUUGCAUGUACCUUAUGAAUAAGGACCGGCUAAUUCCGUGCCAGCAGCCGCGGUAAUACGGAAGGUCCGGGCGUUAUCCGGAUUUAUUGGGUUUAAAGGGAGCGUAGGCCGGAGAUUAAGCGUGUUGUGAAAUGUAGACGCUCAACGUCUGCACUGCAGCGCGAACUGGUUUCCUUGAGUACGCACAAAGUGGGCGGAAUUCGUGGUGUAGCGGUGAAAUGCUUAGAUAUCACGAAGAACUCCGAUUGCGAAGGCAGCUCACUGGAGCGCAACUGACGCUGAAGCUCGAAAGUGCGGGUAUCGAACAGGAUUAGAUACCCUGGUAGUCCGCACGGUAAACGAUGGAUGCCCGCUGUUGGUCUGAACAGGUCAGCGGCCAAGCGAAAGCAUUAAGCAUCCCACCUGGGGAGUACGCCGGCAACGGUGAAACUCAAAGGAAUUGACGGGGGCCCGCACAAGCGGAGGAACAUGUGGUUUAAUUCGAUGAUACGCGAGGAACCUUACCCGGGCUUGAAUUGCAGAGGAAGGAUUUGGAGACAAUGACGCCCUUCGGGGUCUCUGUGAAGGUGCUGCAUGGUUGUCGUCAGCUCGUGCCGUGAGGUGUCGGCUUAAGUGCCAUAACGAGCGCAACCCCUCUCCUUAGUUGCCAUCAGGUUAAGCUGGGCACUCUGGGGACACUGCCACCGUAAGGUGUGAGGAAGGUGGGGAUGACGUCAAAUCAGCACGGCCCUUACGUCC
rnacentral:rRNA from 1 species